GGUGAACGGGGUGUGUGGUGCCUGUCCAUGUUACGUGCUGCCGUCUGGCUGUGUCUUAUAGUCUGUGCGGCGGUGCUCACUCCACACCUGCAGCCAUAGAGCCACUGGAGAUCAUAGUACUGACCUGUGACGUCUCUGACUCCUCACCACGGGCCAGCCUCCAUACUCUCCCACAAAC
ensembl:snoRNA